rnacentral:rRNA from 1 species
GCGGAGCUACCAUGCAGUCGACGGUAACAGGAAACAGCUUGCUUCUUCGCUGACGAGUGGCGGACGGGUGAGUAAUGUCUGGGAAACUGCCUGAUGGAGGGGGAUAACUACUGGAAACGGUAGCUAAUACCGCAUAACGUCGCAAGACCAAAGAGGGGGACCUUCGGGCCUCUUGCCAUCGGAUGUGCCCAGAUGGGAUUAGCUUGUUGGUGGGGUAACGGCUCACCUAGGCGACGAUCCCUAGCUGGUCUGAGAGGAUGACCAGCCACACUGGAACUGAGACACGGUCCAGACUCCUACGGGAGGCAGCAGUGGGGAAUAUUGCACAAUGGGCGCAAGCCUGAUGCAGCCAUGCCGCGUGUAUGAAGAAGGCCUUCGGGUUGUAAAGUACUUUCAGCGGGGAGGAAGGGAGUAAAGUUAAUACCUUUGCUCAUUGACGUUACCCGCAGAAGAAGCACCGGCUAACUCCGUGCCAGCCGCCGCGGUAAUACGUCGUGACUGGGAAA